AUUUCGUAUGUUAAUUUAUUUGAAACGCAUUGUGUACAAAACUUGUGUACAUAAGUUGGCUUAGCAUCCAAUGAGCCUUAGUUAUUUUCCAAUUGCAGUAACAUUCGCAGUAAAAUGAAGGCAUUUUUAUCACUUGUGCUCAGUUUAUUAUUGGUCAAGAGAGUAUCGAAUUCAGUAAAAUAGUGAAAACACUGUGUGAAAAAUCGGCGCAAAAAAACUUUGUAAUAUUGCGUCGGGAGUUGGAAGCGAUGUUCAUGAUAACUGAUUAUAAAAAUAUUAAUAAAGUAAAAGCUAAAUUUGGUCCCACAGUCGAUGGCUUUAUGGACACAGCAAAAAGAGAUCAAAUUGUAUUGGCAAAGAUUCCAAAGGAUAUGAAAAUUGUUGGCUUUAACACUCAUGACUUUUUCGAAGAAGGGAUCAAUGCCAUUAUUGAAGGACAGACUGAAACGCUUAAACAAUUGAUCACAAAUUACAUUCGAGACAAACAAUGACUAUGUGGUAAACACGUACAUGGGGUUACGAUUCCUAGUUUUGACGCAUCAGUUCUGCUACCAAUCGAAGAUGGUAUUCCAGCUAUCCGAUCAGUCUAUAAGACAUUACAUAGUCAAUUCAAGGAACAAAUGAAAAUAGCAAAUGAGUUGGGCAAAAAUUUCGACAAAGAUGUCAAAGCAGCUGUCGUGCGAUUUAAUAGCCUUUUAACGCUUAUUGACUCGAAAAAGGUCGAAAAAAGUAUUAAAGAACUUGAACCUAUGUUAGUUAAAAUAUUUACACAUUCCGCCGCAAUAUUUGCCAAUCUGCAGAAUAUAAGUGAUAUUCUAGACGAUUACAACAAUCAACGGAUCGAAUGGGCAACGUUUCUACUUAGUAGCGGCGAUAAACAUGCACCAAUAAGACCUCGGAAAAAACCAGUUGCAAAAUCCCCAGUUGAUGCCAAACGUCCACCGUGGAAACAACCCGGACAAAACUUACCACUGAAGCUAUAAACAGUUUUUAGCAGAAAAAGACCAUUCAGACAUGAUUGAAAGCUUCAAUGUCGGCUCUUUGAAAUAAACCAAAACCAAAUACGACUUGUGAAGUCACAAAAUUUUUAUUGAAAAAUGAAUAAAAUAAGCGAACAAUUUUUGGAAAAUGUUCGAAAAAAUGA